rnacentral:rRNA from 1 species
GACGAACGCUGGCGGCGUGCUUAACACAUGCCAGUCGAACGGAAAGGCCCUGCUUUUGUGGGGUGCUCGAGUGGCGAACGGGUGAGUAACACGUGAGUAACCUGCCCUUGACUUUGGGAUAACUUCAGGAAACUGGGGCUAAUACCGGAUAGGAGCUCCUGCUGCAUGGUGGGGGUUGGAAAGUUUCGGCGGUUGGGGAUGGACUCGCGGCUUAUCAGCUUGUUGGUGGGGUAGUGGCUUACCAAGGCUUUGACGGGUAGCCGGCCUGAGAGGGUGACCGGCCAUAUUGGGACUGAGAUACGGCCCAGACUCCUACGGGAGGCAGCAGUGGGGAAUAUUGCACAAUGGGCGGAAGCCUGAUGCAGCAACGCCGCGUGCGGGAUGACGGCCUUCGGGUUGUAAACCGCUUUCGCCUGUGACGAAGCGUGAGUGACGGUAAUGGGUAAAGAAGCACCGGCUAACUACGUG